rnacentral:lncRNA from 1 species
CAUUGGGACUUUCACUUCUUUGAUAUGGUUUGUCUGUGUCCCCAACCAAAUCUCCUCUUGAAUUGUAGCUCCCAUAAUUCCUAGAUGUUAUGGGAGGGACCGAGUGGGAGAUAAUUGAAUCAUGGGGGUGGUUUCCCCCAUACUGUUCUCAUGGUAGUGAAUAAGUCUCACUAGAUCUGAUGGUUUUAUAAGGGGAAACCCCUUUCACUUGGUUGUCAUUCUCUCUUGUCUGCUGCCAUGUAAGAUGUGCCUUUUGCCUUCCACCAUGAUUGUGAGGCCUCCCCAGCCACAUGGAACUGUGAGUUCAUUAAACCUCUUUUUCUUUAUAAAUUAUUCAGUCUUGGGUAUGUCUUUAUCAGCAGUGUGAAAACAGACUAAUACACUGCUAUAUCCCCCAGGGCCUGGGAAAUACUUGCACAUAGUAGGUCUACAAAUAAGUAUUUGCUGAAUGAAUGAGUACAUGUGUUCAUUUAAUAAAUUUUGUUUCAUUCUGGCAUUUGAUUUGGAGUUACUGUAUCUAUAUUCUAAAUUUUUACAUUUUUUCACAAAGUAGCUGAGUGUUAUGUUUCUAUAAGAACACCAAGAAGAUGAUCUUUAAUCUUUCUUGCUUAAUAAGGCCUCCCCAGACUCUCAGACCUGUUUCCUAAACUCAAGGAGACUGUCAGUCUCUAAGUGGAGUCUAAGGAGGCUAAAGUGGCUAACAUUGCUACAGGGCAGAGUGCCAAAGAGGAAAGGGCUACACAGACAGGGCGCACCGGAGAUAUACAGAGGGAUGCUCUCAAGUACUCAGCAGAAGGAACCACCUGAAAGGAUUAGAGGGAACACUCCCUGGAGCUUGCACAGAGCUAGAAAUCAUUCCCUUUUCCCUCACUCAUAGUAGAAACCCUCAUCAUUCACAAGGCAUGUGAUAGGGUACCAAGAAAAGUUUUUGCCUUAGUAAUGGGGCAAACUUAGACUAAAUGCUGCUCUGGUCUUGCCCAAAAAAAACUUAAAAGCAAGACCUGAAAGGAUCAAACUGUUUCAAAGUAAUUUAACUAUACUCCCAGGACAAAGCUCAAGAAUAUUUAUAGGAAUACAAAUACCCAACAUACAACAAGUUAAAAUUUAUAAAAUUUAUAGUGUCUGACAUCCAAUCUAAACCUACCAGGAAUGGAAAGAAGCAGGAAUAGUCAGCUGAUGUGAAUAUGAAUAUUAAUCAAUAUAAACUGAUCCAGAAAUGUCACAGAGUAUAGAAUUGGUAGACAAAAACAUUAAAAGUUAUUAUACCCGCAUUCCAUAUGUUCAAGCAGCUGGAAAAAAUAUUGAUCAUAUUAAGUAGAGACAUUAAAAAUAUCUACCUGAAAUCACAUUAUAAAGAGGAAAACUAUCAUUACUGAGAUGAAAAAUACACUGGAUGAGAUUAACAGCCAAUUAGACAUCACAGAAGAAAUAAUUUGUAAACCUGAAAACAUAGCAAUAAAAAUUGUGCAAAAUGAAGCAGAAAGAAAAAAA